rnacentral:lncRNA from 1 species
GCGCGGGCUUUAAUUCUGCAGGAAAUCUGACUUUUUUCACUUUUGGCCCACUUUUUCUCUGAAUUUGCAGUUUUCACCCCAAAAGUUGUCAAUUCUUCAAUUUGCACCUAAAAUACAAAUAAUAACCAAAUUAAGCACCAAUUAUCGUAAAAACACACCAAAAGCUCCAAUUAAAAGGUAUAAUUAAGUGUAUAAAUCUACACUUAACACACCCCCAAACUUGAACUUUUGCUUGUCCUCAAGUAAAAUCAAAUCAAGAACACAAAUCAUGACAAUACAUCUCAUUACAUAGGUCGAUUGGUCAACUUCGUGUUUUCAGAACUUGCAAUUAUGAUGACAAUUCAUAAGUAUUCGCAAGCUUAACAUUCAACGGCACUUAGUCACUCACCAUUACCAAAAACCACAAAUCAUACAAUUGCUUCAAGUAUCCAAUAUUUGCAAGUUAAAGAUAGAAAGAAUUUGUACUUACAUGCAUAUAUUUGACUCCAAAUACCCACCAAAUUAUUUUACUCAACUAAUAUUGAACAAUAAGCUAUUGGGAUCAUUGGGGCUUUGUGGCUUUCAAUUGUUAGGCUCUUUGGUCCGAGGUAGGUAAUAUGGAAAUGUGUGGCUAAUUUUCUUGAAUUGAGGUGAUUUCGCCAAAAUUUGAACGAUAGGCGUUUGAAACAAUGAAUUCACCUCUAGGGACUUUAAUAAACUCGAUUCUCCAAAAUUCACACGUCAACAUUGUUGCCUUGAG